rnacentral:sRNA from 2 species
CGCGCGCGAGCGCCGAAUUCCGCGAGGAAACCGGGGAACCACGUUCCUUGGGGUGAAUCGGACGCCUGCGUCUCGUCAGAGGCGGAGGGGGCCGUAGGAGACCUUCCUGCUCCGAACCCGUCAGCUAACCCGGUAGGCGAGAAGGAAGGAAAGG